rnacentral:rRNA from 1 species
CACACGGUAAACGAUGAAUGCUAGGUGUAGGGGGUAUCGACCCCUUCUGUGCCGCAGUAAACACAGUAAGCAUUCCGCCUGGGGAGUACGGUCGCAAGAUUAAAACUCAAAGGAAUUGAC